UACGUAGGUGGCAAGCGUUGUCCGGAUUUACUGGGUGUAAAGGGCGUGUAGCCGGGUUGACAAGUCAGAUGUGAAAUCCUGCGGCUUAACCGCAGAACUGCAUUUGAAACUGUUGAUCUUGAGUACUGGAGAGGCAGACGGAAUUCCUAGUGUAGCGGUGAAAUGCGUAGAUAUUAGGAAGAACACCAGUGGCGACGGCGGAUGACUGGACGACAACUGACGGUGAGGCGCGAAAGCGUGGGUAUCAAACAGG
rnacentral:rRNA from 1 species